rnacentral:siRNA from 1 species
UAGUGGAGGUGUUGAAUUCCAA